CUGAAUGGGACGACCCUUCUUAAGAUGGAAAAUGUGACAGAGGAACAGGAGGAAGGUCUACAGCAGUAAACAGUAAUUAGCCUCCAGGGAACUCUCAAGGCUUGGAGAAACCUGGAAACCGAAGUCUUGGCAAGAACAAUUGAGGUUUAUGUCGAAAUCCAUCAUUCCCAUCACAGCACUCUUAAAGCAUAGUGAGGAUGACCUCAGCACGCCCAUUAUAAACCCCAAGGAGUUUACAGCUACGCCAAGAACGUGCCACCAGUGAAGCCUUCUACAGAAUGACCACAGAGAGAAACCGAGUUCUGACUUUGCUGUGCAAAUCAAAGCUGAGCGAAGAAGAAAUCUGCCGAUCUCCUGGGAGGGAAAAUGGCACACCCGACUGAGAUCAAAGACCCACUUGGCUUUAAUGAUUGAUUUUCACUUCUGCUUUGAAGCUGUUCUGAAGCAAGGGCCCAAUCCUGCAGUGACAAAAACGUGGACAAGAACACUGGUGCAGGGGCUUGGCUUCCCUCGUGGCACAAUGGUUAAGAAUCCGCCUGCCAAUGCAGGGGACAUGGGUUUGAGCCCUGAUCCGGGAAGAUCCCACAUGCCGCGGAACAACUGAGCCCGCGUGCCACAACUACUGAGACUACGAGCCACAACUACUGAAGCCCGCGUGCCACAGCUGCUGAAGCCCACGCGCCUAGGGCUUGUGCUCCACAACAACAGAAGCCCCUGCAAUGAGAGGCCCGCUCACACCAACAAAGAGUAGCCCCCGGUCGCCACAACUAGAGAAAGCCCGCAU